rnacentral:lncRNA from 1 species
GAAGACAUUUGAAAACCAAAUUAACUAAUGAACUUCAGAUCUUUGGUUGUUUAUUUUGAUACAUGUAGGACUAUUGUAACAAUUUAUGUAUGUUUUUAUGUCAUUUUGAUGUAUUCAGAACUAUUGUGAUAUCGCUUCACACAUUUUAGGACAAGAUGUUUACGGUUGUUUUUUUAUGUUCUCUAUGUCUAAGGUUAUUUGUUUGUGAGUAACAAGUUUCAUAUUUAAGAGAGUAAUACAUAGAAAUUCAAUUUAUAUUUUGAUGUGCUGGAACAACAUUGACUAUCGAGAAGGGAAUUUAGUGAAGGAGAAAAUGAGAGGAAACAUUAGUGAUGGGAGAAUCCUAAGGAAGAGAUAAUUUGAUGGACAAGAAUCAGUUUAGUUGAUUAUAUUAAACUACUGGCUAGAUGAGUUUUCGGAAUAAUCAAAAGGGGAAGGUAUGUACGUGCGUGUAUGAGGAAAUGAAAUCUGAACAGAAUGAAUCGAGGAAAAAUUAUUGGUUUCCUUUUCUACUAUUAGAAUAGAAACACACAACAAGCCACAUAUGGUCGGAUCUUUUGCUCACAUUUACUGUGAUUUGAGUUCAAAUCCAAAAAAAUUCUGUUCAUAGGUUAUGGGUAAGUUCCACCUUAAACCCUCGCGUAGUUUACUUUGUUCUGAACAGGAAAUGGCCCAUUGUGUGGCGCUAAACACUAGUUACCCGCAUUUUGCAGUAGUGGUUGUAGCAGCUGCAAAUUGCGGCCAAAUAGUUCUUUAGCAGCCUACUUAUCCUUGAUUUCACUUAACCUUCCAUUUAGACUUAUAUUAUAUGUACUAUAUGAGAUUCCAAAGUCUGUUUGAUCAUAAUUUAUCUAGAUAGGGCUACGUUAACAUAUACAAUUUGUGUACCGAAUCUCAGAAUCAAACUCCUUUAAUUUUAUGGGUGUGACUUCUACAAUAUACCCCAAAUGACUUUCUUUUCAGUGUUAAAUUGCAAUUAUGGGGCCAACCUGAGUUAUACUUGUUCCCUUGACCAAAUUUUUGGUAUAUAGGAUCCCUUUGGUCUUACAAAAAGGUGGGAAGUGGGUCAAACUCUGUAUAUUCUGAUUUAAUAGUUGUGUAUCUAAGUCACUAAUAAAGCUUUCAAAGUCAAGAUUUGGUACUUAAGGUCCAGACUUAGCUAUACUGCUCUGGUUGACCUCAGGUUAUGCAGACAUACAGUAUUAGGUUAGGGAUAACAAAACAAACUGUCAGAGAAGGUUUCAUUUCAAUGACUUAUCUGGUUUAACAUUUAUGUUGUCUUCAACUUAGGCACUUUCUAUAGACUUUAACACUUGAACAUAAAUAUCUUAGUCAAAAAAACACUUGAACAUACAUCAAGAGUUUGACUUGAUGCUCACCUACGGUUUGGCUUUGGAAUUUGUGAUGUAACUCUAAAAAUUGAAAUUCAGGACUGGUAUGGCCGUAAGUUGGGUGAUUGGGGCUCAGAUAUACAGAUUGUGUAUCUAGUAGCUUUAUAGUAUCCUAGACUUAAUCUAAACUACAAAUUGUGCUGUCGAACCUCCAAUUGUGCUGAUAGUAUCCUAGACUUAAGUUGGGUGAUUGGAG